UACAUGUAAGAGAACGGUUCCAAAAUCAUUGAAUCCGAAGAGUAGAUCAAACUCACUUAAUUACCGAUCUUCUGGUGAAAAAUUUCACAUCUGGAAGCAAGAUCAUGAAGACUUCAACCUUUAUUUCGACUCUCUGUUGCUUUAUCAUUUUGUAUUCUUUCAUUCACGUUUCCGAUGCCUUUUUCAAGGGACAUGGUAGAGGUAAUGUUGGUAAGAGGUUCCUCGAGAAAAGAAAUAUGCAAAAUAUCUGCCAGUCCGUUUACGAGCUCUGUGCAACUCAUCAGCAGACACGUGACACACAGGCUGAAAAUAGGAAACUAAAGAACAGAGACCCCGAAUUUUCUCGAUCAUCGAUAAUGCAAUUUUGAACAUUCUGAAAUAGCAUUGGAGAAGAUUAUCAGCGUUACUGUUUUAAAAUGCAGUAACAUUAUUCUUCAAAAGAAUUUUAAUUGAUUGAAAAAAGGAACAUGUAUAAAUGCUGAUUAUUUUAAAACUUCAUUUGGCUUGUUUAAUGAUUUGUUUCUUAAGGACUAUGGGAAUUUAUCAAGCUUGUGAUUUGACAAUAAAUAAGUGAACGGUA